rnacentral:rRNA from 1 species
UACGGAGGAUGCGAGCGUUAUCCGGAUUUAUUGGGUUUAAAGGGUGCGUAGGCGGACGCUUAAGUCAGCGGUAAAAUUGCGAGGCUCAACCUCGUCGAGCCGUUGAAACUGGGUGCCUUGAGUGGGCGAGAAGUACGCGGAAUGCGUGGUGUAGCGGUGAAAUGCAUAGAUAUCACGCAGAACUCCGAUUGCGAAGGCAGCGUACCGGCGCCCUACUGACGCUGAAGCACGAAGGCGUGGGUAUCGAACAGG